ACUAGCAGCCAUAUCACCCUGUAGCCCAAGCCUGGUUGCCCAUUGAAGCUAAGCAGGGCUGAGCCUGCUCAGUACCUGGAUGGGAGACCUCCUGGGAAAACUAGGUUGCUGCUGGAA
ensembl:rRNA 5S_rRNA 5S ribosomal RNA